UACGUAGGGUGCAAGCGUUGUCCGGAAUUAUUGGGCGUAAAGAGCUCGUAGGCGGUUUGUCGCGUCUGCUGUGAAAACCCGAGGCUCAACCUCGGGCCUGCAGUGGGUACGGGCAGACUAGAGUGCGGUAGGGGAGAUUGGAAUUCCUGGUGUAGCGGUGGAAUGCGCAGAUAUCAGGAGGAACACCUAUGGCGAAGGCAGCUCGCUGGGACGUUACUGACGCUGAGACGCGAAAGCGUGGGGAGCAAACAGG
rnacentral:rRNA from 1 species